rnacentral:rRNA from 1 species
UACGAAGGGGGCUAGCGUUGCUCGGAAUCACUGGGCGUAAAGGGUGCGUAGGCGGGUCUUUAAGUCAGGGGUGAAAUCCUGGAGCUCAACUCCAGAACUGCCUUUGAUACUGAAGAUCUUGAGUUCGGGAGAGGUGAGUGGAACUGCGAGUGUAGAGGUGAAAAUUCGUAGAUAUUCGCAAGAACACCAGUGGCGAAAGGCGGCUCACUGGCCCGGUACUGACGCUGAGGCACGAAAGCGUGGGGAGCAAACAGG